GAUAUCGCGCCGGGAAAGAACGGAUAACUCUGAUGAUGUUAAUCACGAGAGACUUCUCUCCGAUAUCA
rnacentral:tRNA from 1 species